GACGAACGCUGGCGGCGUGCUUAACACAUGCAAGUCGAACGGAAAGGCCCUGCUUUUGUGGGGUGCUCGAGUGGCGAACGGGUGAGUAACACGUGAGUAACCUGCCCUUGACUUUGGGAUAACUUCAGGAAACUGGGGCUAAUACCGGAUAGGAGCUCCUGCUGCAUGGUGGGGAUUGGAAAGUUUCGGCGGUUGGGGAUGGACUCGCGGCUUAUCAGCUUGUUGGUGGGGUAGUGGCUUACCAAGGCUUUGACGGGUAGCCGGCCUGAGAGGGUGACCGGCCACAUUGGUCCUGAGAUACGGCCCAGUCGCCUACGGGAGGCAGCAGUGGGGAGUAUUGCACAAUGGGCGGAAGUCUGAUGCAGCAACGCCGCGUGCGGGAUGAUGGCCUGCGGGGUGUAAACCGCUUUCGCCUGUGACGAAGCGUGAGUGACGGUAAUUGGUAAAGAAGCACCGGCUAACUACGUG
rnacentral:rRNA from 1 species